rnacentral:rRNA from 1 species
AUGUUUAAGAGCGGGAUCUGCCCAAGAACCACCUGUGGUGGCACGAACUCUGCAAGCGUCCCGCGCCCUCUGAGAAAGAAACUCCUCAACCAUCACAAGAUAAAGAAGUAUGACGCUCUGUGUCUGACUCUAUUGGUCAUAGAAGAUCAACCGUCCUCCGCCUCCAUCUAA